rnacentral:tRNA from 1 species
GCUUGGGUGGCUCAGUUGGUUAGAGCGCAGGUCUCAUAAUCCUGAGGUCAUGAGUUCGACCCUCAUCCCGAGCA